ACCGCUGCGUCAGGCAGCACACGUACAUUACAGACUAUAGUGAAUGAUUAGUAUAAGCCAGAAUCAGCCCCCAACAGGAUAGGGUACCACGGAUGCAGACGCUUGAGCUGGGGGUACUUGCUGAUCAAAGCAGGGCAGAAGUCUAAGAUUAGGAGAGUCACAUAAAAAAGGUUCUGGGACUGUGUCCUUGGGGACAUGCUCUGGAGUCUGACAUUUUCAGCAUCGCUUGGGAGCACUGCAGAAAAGCACAAAUGCUUACCUACCUGGUAGGAACGUGGAAAGCACCAGAAAAUAAACUAAAGCUUACCACCACACACACACACACACACACACACACACACACACACACAAAACCAAACUCUGCAGAAUUUACUAUCUUUCCCAGGCCACAGUUCGAGAAUAUUUUCCAGUCUGACCCCCUUAUGCACAAACAUCCUUCCUGGCUUGAAACCCUAAAUGCCCUCACCUGAAAUCUGCAUCCAAGGUACCCUGUCAUCCUCCAGUCCCUCCUUGUUCUCUAGCCUCCAAGACUCCCCUGAAUUCUGCUCUCCCCCUUGCCUGUGUGCUCUGGCCAAUGGCAGAGUCAGCCUGUGCAUCUGGUGGCCCUUCCUAACCCCAAUGUCAGGGAGUUAGCCUGUGACUUCAAGAAAAUUAUCCUUCCCUCAUGUCCACAUCUCACUCGUCAGGUCUAUUCAAGUUGGAAGAACAAAAUCCUCCACUUUGCUUCAAAAGGUCAGUUGCUCUUCCCUUAACAGGUGGGCUGACACCCACUCAAGGUCCACAGGCCCAUCCUGAGCUACCCCAACGAAACCCCGCACCACUGGACCCGCUAGCGCCUCAAAACCCCAAAUCACACCCAACACCCCAAAUCCCUACUCAAGCUUCACAAGGCCUCACGCCCAGUCGGCCUUCUCAGAGCCCAUCCUUCCACCCCCACCUCAUGCCCACUCCUGCUUUCCACACCAAACCCCACACAGGUCUCCCGAGCAUCCACACCAGACUCCGCACGCGUAGGAGUAAAAGCAAGACGACUCAGAUGGGGGAUUCUACUUCUCCAUCCCCGUGACCUGUGUGGAUUCUCUGGGGGAGACCCACACCGACUGUGAGAGAACAACAGAGCAAGCCAAGUGGUGAGAGCCCAAACGUCUGCUCUGAGGGCUACAGCAGGGCAGGGGCCCAGUCAGCUGCCUGGUGAGGCCAGUCAGGGCCGGGAGCCGCUGGGACCUCUCUGUCCACAGGAGGGCAGCUCUCUCCGCCAGGGGCUUGUUAGGGACGCCUUUUGCUUUUCUUCAGUGUCAUGAACCCAAGCUUGGCGGUUAGGGCUGCUGAGGGAGGAGCCUCUGCCUUUUCCCGCUUCUGGAGGCCACGUCCAUCUUUGCCUCACAGCCCCCCUGACAUGGCUGCUUCUCCCUGACCCAGGCUCACGUCGCCUUCUUCCUCUUCUGGACUCCAGUCACUCUCUGCCUCUGCAUUAUGAAGACACGUGUGACUCCAUCAGGCUCCAGUCAGAUAAUCCAGCAGAAUCUCCCAAUAUUGAGACAUUUCACUUUCUCCCAGUUGCAAAAGCCCUUCUGCCCCAGCAGGUAACUUCCCCAGGGCACGGGCGACAGUUCCCAGGUGCAUGGGAGCCCCUUACUCAGCCGGGCGCAGGAUCAGAGGAACUCCAGAAUGUUCUGUGUUCAUACACACCACGUUUAGUAAACAACAUCGUUUUUCUGUACACUUGUCGUGUGUCCUUGAUCAUGGGGAGGUCUUGCCCCAUAGUCAGACCUCCUUAUGCUCCCCCCAACCCACUGUGAGGUCCCCCUGCCUCUCACCACCUCCGACCUUUCCGCCAUUACACAACCUGGGCACGGAUCUCUUUGGGGGCGGUGACUUUAAACACAAAAUGGCGCCGGUUGCACGCUUAUUGGUCAGGACCACUUCCUGUUGGCUUGAGGUCAUGAUGAGUGACUUUUUAAAGCCGCAGCUCUUCCGGGUCAAGUCGGAGAGUUAGUAAGUGGAAAUCAUGAGCAGACUAGCUGCAUAUUCUUUUUUUUUCUGGUCGUGGUUUUUAAUUAUUUUUAUUCUACUGUUUUUUUGCCUAAUGAAGUACCUCCGAUUUAAUCGUUUUCAUUUCUCAGUUCUUUUACGUUUCUUUAACUUUUUAAAAUCGUUUUUCAUGUAUUCACUUUUUCCGUUAAUAAAGUUAAUGAUUAUUGAAAUUUUACUGGAACAAAUGCCUGAGAUGAGAGAAUUCCUAACGGAUCAGUGCACUGGAGAAAGAGCAUGGCAAAUGGAAAAGGAAAUGAUGUUAAAGCUGGUGACUUCGUUUCUAAUUGGAUGAUGCAUCGUUACCGACCACAAGUAAAUGUGGUUUAAUUAUUUCUUAUAAAUCCUUUGCCAUGUCUGCACUUUGUCGUACGAUGGGAAAAAAAACCGUUACUUAUGAUUUGGAAUAUGACUAAUACAUAAAACGUGAACAAAAGGAAUCUAUGAAACAAUUACAUAUGAAUUGGAAAUGACAUUUAAAAAACUAACCACAGCGAUUUGGGAUGAAUGACGAAUUAUAAAUCAUGUAUGUUACGUUCACCAGUUCAAGAGAGCAGAUACACUCUUGUAUCCUUUGCUGAGCUGAUAACGCAUGUGUGGUAUCAUCCACGACUCAGAAAUAUCAAUCGUGAGCGGUUUCUUUGAUCUCACCCACUCUGCCCCCCUGACAAAGGCAACAUGGGAAUAAAGUGUCAUUUACCCGG